UACGUAGGUGGCAAGCGUUGUCCGGAUUUAUUGGGCGUAAAGAGCGUGUAGGCGGCCAGACAGGUCCGUUGUGAAAACUCGAGCUCAACCUCGAGACGCCGAUGGAAACCGUUUGGCUAGAGUCCGGAAGAGGAGAGUGGAAUUCCUGGUGUAGCGGUGAAAUGCGCAGAUAUCAGGAAGAACACCCGUGGCUAAGGCGGCUCUCUAGUACGGUACUGACGCUGAGACGCGAAAGCGUGGGGAGCGAACAGG
rnacentral:rRNA from 1 species